GGUGUGGGAGGAGGACACACACUCAGUCUGAAGCUGGCCAUGACCUCCUUCCCUUCCAAUCCUCCCUGGCCACUGCUGGGGACUGCCAUUUGUGCCCUGCGGGAGCCCAAGGGAAAGUGCGGUCCCUGAGGACCCCAGCUGGCUGGUCUGGAAAUGUCUGGGCCUGCAGCCUGCACAGGGCCUGGAGAGGAAGUCACCGGCGCUGGGUUUUCUUUGUCAGCGUGUGCCCCACGCACGUUUUUCUGUGCUGCAGUGGAAAUCGGAGCUGCCAUGGCCUUGCCGUCCUUCUAGGGAGCAGCAUGCAGUGGGGCAGUGCGGGGAGCUCCACCCGAGAUGCAGACUCCAGACGCAGGGCUGCACCCUCAUAAGAAGAGGAAGCGACAUCAGAACUCUCUCUCCACCACGUGAGGACACAGUGAGACAGGGGCCAUCCACAGGCUGAGAAGAAAAUCCUGAACCAGAAACAAACCCUGCUGGCACCUUGGUCCUGGACUUCCAGCCUCCUGAACUGUGAGAAAUAAAUUUCUGUUGUUCAAGCCA